rnacentral:rRNA from 1 species
UUUCUUCGGAAUGACGAUUUAGUGACUUGAGUGGCGGACGGGUGAGUAACGCGUGGGUAACCUGCCUCAUGCAGGGGGAUAACAGUUGGAAACGACUGCUAAUACCGCAUAAGCGCACAGUACCGCAGUGGUACGGUGUGAAAAACUCCGGUGGUACAAGAUGGACCCGCGUCUGAUUAGCUAGUUGGUGAGGUAACGGCCCACCAAGGCGACGAUCAGUAGCCGACUUGAGAGAGCGAUCGGCCACAUUGGGACUGGAGACACGGCCCAAACUCC